AAGGGAGAAGGGGAGGCAACUCAAGGCAGUUUGCAGGGAGGAAAGGUAGGCACCUGAAAAAGACCAGACCCAGACCGUGAGGAAAAGACCCUGGAGUGUGGACCAGACUCAGUAACAGACCCUGAAAAGCUGAGGGAAGUCGAGGUUCUGACUCAAGCUGGUGGCAGAUAUUCGAGCACUCCCCACUCAAGACACCUGACGUGGGUGCACCAGUGAGAGAAAGGAUAGAGCGUGUGAGAUGAAAGGGCUGGUCUUAUUAAGCCCUACAAUACUCUGGGGUCCAAGCAAUCCUGCUGUGGGACCCUGCUAAGUGAACAUAAUGCCGAGGAAGAACAGCUCUCCUCUUUUUGCCAAAGCCUGCCAAGGUGUCAAGGCUUGAGAAAGAGUGGUGGGUGCCACAACAGAGAUCAGGUUCAGCCAUCAAGGCCAGCAACAGUGCAGCAGCUCAGCCCAGAAGACUGGGCUGACAUGCAGGCCUAUGUUAGACGUCUCUUGGGAACUCUUAGGCAUAUCUUUUGGUGAAAGGGUGCAGGGGAUGGAGGGGAAAGUUGGCAAACUUUUACAGAAUUGGUGGGGAUGUGAGUACCAAAUACAAUGGGACCUUGCUCACCUGCUGGUAAAGCUUGAGGAUCAUUUAGUUACACCGGAGUUCUGAAUAUUCUAGUCCCUUUUAAAGGAUGUCAUGAGAUGUCUGAUCUACCAGGACCAGCCCUGCUAUUCUGCUCUGUCCUAGUAAUCAGAGGUCUCUAACCUCUGAACCACCAAGAACUUGAGCUUCCAUGAUUACAGAGAAGGGCUCUUUCUCCCAUGUAGAGAACUAGGAAGUAGCUGGUGACCACUAUGUCCACAUGGGCUCCCUCACCCGAUCAUCAAGGUCCCCUGUGCUAUCCAUAGCCUUCCCUCACCCUGGCAAAGGUGAUGCAAAGCCUUUACUCUACACACCCAUCCAACCUGAGCCUUAUCAUCUAACAUACUCACAUGGGGUCUUAUUGUACUCUAUGCACCCCCAGUUCAAGAGGAUGACAAGCGAACCUUACUGUAAAUAUCUUUUCAUGUUUCUAAUCCUCCCACACAUGCCUCCGGUUUCCUCCCUGGCCCUCCAAGCUUACAGUCUGUUUCCUUCUGUGGUGAAGUUGGGCAAGUUCCGAUGCUUGGGGUGGAGAGCCAUGAAUCAUGAGUGAGAGGCUCUGGGAACACCAAGUCCACACUACUCUACUUACAAGUCCUAAACUGCCUAGUGGGAUCCAACGCUGACCCCAGUGGAGUUCUUUACCCAUGACUGGUGUCCUCAGGAAUGUGUCUGUGGGAAGAAAAGUCUCAAAUGCUGGGGAAUGGAGCCAUCGAUAAUUUCUUUCCUAUGUUGGAGUGCAAGAGAGCCCCUAAGGCUGGAGCACUCCCCAAGUAAGCAGGCAGAGACAGAGACCUGAGUCCUACUGCUGAGUCAUUUAAAUCUGCUUUAGAUCGGGUUUUCCCAGGGCAUGGAAAGGACAGGGCUCCCAGUGGAGAUAUCAUGUAGCUAUAGGGCCUAGAAGUAUUUUUUCAGUAGAUGAAAUUUAGAAAUAAUUUGAAUAUUUUAUGCUGGGGAGGUAGCUUGUGGAGUGAAAUGGUCGGGUAAAGGAAACACUGAGUUCAAGUGCUUCUUUAUAAAGGACACUUAACUGAUCUAAAUAUUUGUCAAGCUGAAUCGCUACAUCCACUCUCACCUGCCUGAAAUCAAUAUGCUCAAGUCAAACGCAUUUGCCUGCAUCUGAAUGUGGAGAAUGAACUUCUUAAAGCUGAACUGGCAGCUGGAAGGGGAGAGAGAAGAGCUGGACAGGGAGCCAGGACACCGGAGUUCUUUUCCACUGUGGUGGGAUCUGGAAGAAGCUGUUGAAUCUCUGUAGAGUUAGCUUUUAAAUGCUGUGAGUCUUUGGAAAGCUGUGCGAAUAACUGCUAAACACCCAGGACAGCUUAUGCAUUUUUUGAAAAAGGUUCCUGGUGCUGGUUCCAGCAGAAUAGACACAGAGAUGCAUGGCCUAACUCCCACUCCCUCUUCAGGACUGAGCCACGCAGCCCCCCAUCUGCCAGAAGUGUUAGCUGUUGACGGCUCACAGCUGAGUCCCUCUCCAGGCAUUGCUGAAAAGAGCCACCUUGCUCUAGGAUGUGCCCCCACCCUGGGGGCAGCAUACAUUCCAAGUGAUUAGUCCAUAGUGUGGUACAAAGGUUGUACCCAUCUUGCCUGAAUUCAGGAUCUCUUGGAAAACCACCCCAGCUCUGCAGCUCCUGGUGGGGUGCUGAGGCCUCUGCUGCAGCUGCAUCGCAGUUUACUUUCCCCUCUGCCUAGUCCUGCUGCCUUCACUCCCCAACAGAUCACCCGCUCUGAACAUGCCAUCUACUGUGGAAAUCUUCAAUCUUUAAUUAAUUUUUCCUGUUACAGGAAGAUUAAGUCUAAAAGGGUAUCUCCCCUAGUUGAUCCAGAACUAAAUAACAUUGUUUUCAGUACUUCCAGUAACUUGCUUACACUCUUACUUCUAAAGCAUUGAAUGUAUCAUCUUAUGUGCUUGUCACCCCCAGCUUGUGUCAUAGGAGAAAGUAUACGGAGAUCAGGUACAACUUCAGUUCAACAGCUUAUGAGCUAUUGGAUCAGUCUCCUUAUUAAUCUCUCAGAGCCUCAAUUUCCUUGUUUAAAAUGGGGGCAAUACCUACCUUAAGGAAUUUCUUGAGGAUCAAAAGAAACCCUAGUAACAAAGCCUUGAACCAUGUCUGACUUAUAGUAUAUAUUCUAACUGCAAGUUCUUUUCAUGUCUUGUCCAUGAAUUCUUCAUUCAUUCAUUCAUUCAUUCAUCCAACAACCAAGCAUUCACUGAUGCUCCAAUUGUGCAAGACACUGUUUUAGGCCUUGAGAAUACAAACUGCACAAGCAGGACAAUGUAACCAGUGUUAUGCAGGGUCUGGUCUAGUGGGAGGAGAAGACAGUGACCAUGGCCCAUGAUGAGUGACAGAAUGAAAAGUAAUCAGGAAGAUAUGAUAGGAAAUACAGGGAGAAUGGGAGAGUCUGCUUUAUGUUGCAUAAUCAGAGGGCAGCUCUGGACAGGCAAAAUUUGAGCUGAGACCUAAAUGACAAGGAGUGAAGCCAAUGGAACAUCUGAAAGAAUAGUUUUCUAGAAAGAGAGCCCAGCUAGUGUGAGCCCUAAAGUAGGUAGAAAAUGGGCUUGGAGGGUUUUAUAUGAGGAGCAGCGGGAAGUAGGCAGAGGCCUGGUCAUUGUAGGUCAUGUUGGCUAGAGUAAAGAGCUUGUGUUUGAUUCUCAGGGCAAUGAAGAGCCUUUGGAGAAUUUAAAGCAAAGUGGGGAGGGGGAACAAGAGCUGAUUUACAUUAUUCUGAACAGCACCAGGAGGGAUAGUACUGGAUAAUAAGAGUGGUAAAAGGAGACCAUUUAGGAGGUUAUAGCAAUUGUCCAGGGUGGCCUGGCCUGCCACGGUAGCCACAGAGACGGUGAGAGGUGAGGAGGUGCCAGGUACCGUCAUGGGAGACAUAAUGACAUUCGAUCAAUGCUGAACUACAUAUAUGACGGUGGUACCAUGAGAUUAUAAUGGAGCUGAAAAAUUCCCAUCACCUAGUGACCUCGUAGCUGCUGGAACAUUGCAGGGCAAUGCAUACACACAUGUAUGUGGUGAUAGUGGUGCACACAAACCUACUAUGCUGCCAGUCCUAUAAAAGUGUAGCACACAGGAUUAUGUACAGUACAUAACACUUGAUAAUGAUAACAAAUGACUAGGUUACUGGUUUAUGCAUUUACCAUACUAUACUUUUAUCGUUAUUUUAGAGAGUACUCCCUCUACUUAUUUAAUAAAUAUAGUUAACUGUAAAACAGCCUCAGGCAGGUCGUUCAGGAGGUAUUCUAAAGAAGGCAUUACUAUCACAGGAGAUGACAACUCCAUGCGUGUUAUUGCCCCUGAAGACCUUUCAGUGGGAUACAGUGUGGAGGUGGAAGACAGUGAUACUGAUGAUCCUGACCCUGUGUAGACCUAUGCUAAUGUGUGCUUGUGUCUUAGUUUUUCACAAAAAAGGUUUAAAAAUAAAAAUACAAAAGAAUAAAAAAGGUUAUAGAAUAAGGAUAUAAAGAAAGAAAAUACUUUUGUACAGCUGUAUAAGUGUUUGUGUUUUAAAUUAAGUGUUAUUACAAAGG
rnacentral:lncRNA from 1 species